rnacentral:sRNA from 1 species
UUGUAAACCUGGGUGACAGAUGGUUCUGUUGCUCGUAACAGUGGAGAAAAGAAGCGAAGAGGUUUAACCUUGAUUUAGGAGGAACUACCUCUAAAAACAAAACAGAAUAGUUCAGUCUCCAUGCCCAUUCAGUCCGUGGCCUCU